rnacentral:rRNA from 1 species
AUUGAACGCUGGCGGAAUGCUUUACACAUGCAAGUCGAACGGCAGCACGGACUUCGGUCUGGUGGCGAGUGGCGAACGGGUGAGUAAUGUAUCGGAACGUGCCCAGUCGUGGGGGAUAACGUAGUGAAAAUUACGCUAAUACCGCAUACGAUCUAUGGAUGAAAGCGGGGGAUCGCAAGACCUCGCGCGAUUGGAUCGGCCGAUAUCAGAUUAGGUAGUUGGUGGGGUAAAGGACCACCAAGCCAACGAUCUGUAGCUGGUCUGGGAGGACGACCAGCCACACUGGAACUGAGACACGGUCCAGACUCCUACGGGAGGCAGCAGUGGGGAAUUUUGGACAAUGGGCGAAAGCCUGAUCCAGCCAUUCCGCGUGCAGGAUGAAGGCCCUCGGGUUGUAAACUGCUUUUGUACAGAACGAAAAGGUUUCUACUAAUACUAGGAGCUCAUGACGGUACUGUAAGAAUAAGCACCGGCUAACUACGUGCCAGCCGCCGCCGUAA